ensembl:rRNA 5S_rRNA 5S ribosomal RNA
GUCUAUGGCCAUACCACCCUGAACACGCCCGAUCUCGUCUGAUCUCAGAAGCUAAGCAGGGUUGGGCCUGGUUAGUACUUGGAUGGGAGACAAUACAUACACAUGGCAGGAAAUUUAAAAGGUGCACAAGAGC